UUAAUACCCCAUGGUAUCGCAAGAUUAAAGGUGGCUUCGGCUGCCGCUGCGGGAUUGGCUCGCGUCCUAUCAGUUAGUUGGUGAGGUAACGGCUCACCAAGGCGACGACGGGUAGCUGGUCUGAGAGGAUGAUCAGUCACACUGGAACUGAGACACGGUCCAGACACCUACGGGUGGCAGCAGUCGAGAAUAAUUCACAAUGGACGAAAGUCUGAUGGUGCAACGCCGCGUGGAGGAUGACGGUCUUCGGAUUGUAAACUCCUGUCAUCGGGGAGUAAGACCUGGCUGUGAAUAGCAGACAGGGUUGAUAGUACCCGAAGAGGAAGGGACGGCUAACUUCGUGCCAGCAGCCGCGGUAAUACGAAGGUCCCGAGCGUUGUUCGGAAUCACUGGGCGUAAAGGGAGCGUAGGCGGCAGGGUAAGUCAGAUGUGAAAUCCCGGGGCUCAACCCCGGAACGGCAUCCGAUACUGCCCUGCUUGAGUAAUGGAGGGGUAGCUGGAAUUCUCGGUGUAGCAGUGAAAUGCGUGGAUAUCGAGAGGAACACUCGUGGCGAAAGCGAGCUACUGGACAUUGACUGACGCUGAGGCUCGAAGGCCAGGGUAGCGAACGGGAUUAGAUACCCCUGUAGUCCUGGCAGUAAACGGUGUGCGCUUGGUGUGAGGGGUUUCGANCCCCUUUGUGCCGGAGCUAACGCGUUAAGCGCACCGCCUGGGAAGUACGGUCGCAAGACUUAAAUUCAAAGAGAUUGACGGGGACCUGCCUCAAGCGGUGGAGUAUGUGGGCUAAUUCGAUGCAACUCUAAGAACCUUACCUGGGUCUUGACAUGCAGUGCGUAAUCCGUUGAAAGGCGGUGAGUGUUCGGACACCUUGCACAGGUGCUGCAUGGCCGUUGUCAGCUCGUGUCGUGAAGAUGUUGGGUUAAGUCCCGCAACGAGCGCAACCCCUGUGAUUAGUUGCCAGCACGUGAAGGUGGGGGACUCUAAUCAGACUGCCCAGAUCAACUGGGAGGAAGGUGGGGACGACGUCAGGUCAGUAUGGCCCUUACGCCCAGGGCUGCACACGUACUACAAUGCCCAGCACAAUUGGAACCGAUACCGCGAGGUGGAGGGGAUCCGAAAAACUGGGCCCAGUUCGGAUUGGAGGCUGCAACUCGCGUCCAUGAAGCCGGAAUCGCUAGUAAUGGCACAUCAGCUACGGUGCCGUGAAUACGUUCCCGGGUC
rnacentral:rRNA from 1 species